UACAGAGGUCCCGAGCGUUUGUUCGGAUUCAUUGGGCGUAAAGGGUGUGUAGGUGGCGCCGUAAGUCGGGUGUGAAAUUUCGGAGCUUAACUCCGAAACUGCAUUCGAUACUGCGGUGCUUGAGGACUGGAGAGGAGACUGGAAUUUACGGUGUAGCGGUGAAAUGCGUAGAUAUCGUAAGGAAGACCAGUGGCGAAGGCGGGUCUCUGGACAGUUCCUGACACUGAGGCACGAAGGCCAGGGGAGCAAACGGG
rnacentral:rRNA from 1 species